GACAGAGGGUGCAAACGUUGUUCGGAAUUACUGGGCGUAAAGCGCACGUAGGCGGCUUUUUAAGUCAGGGGUGAAAUCCUGGAGCUCAACUCCAGAACUGCCUUUGAUACUGAGAAGCUUGAGUCCGGGAGAGGUGAGUGGAACUGCGAGUGUAGAGGUGAAAUUCGUAGAUAUUCGCAAGAACACCAGUGGCGAAGGCGGCUCACUGGCCCGGUACUGACGCUGAGGUGCGAAAGCGUGGGGAGCAAACAGG
rnacentral:rRNA from 1 species